AAUUCAUCAAAGCUCGAUUUGAAGCGGAGGAACCAUAUUGUGGGGCUAAUCUCAUAGAAAGUAAGGAGUUAGGAGUUAAGAAUUAGGAGUUAGUAAUUAUUAAUAUUAACUCAGUACUCAGCACUCAAUACUUCCAAGAGAGAGACACCUUCCAGUCUUAGCCCGUCAGCUAACUCCGUAGGCAAUGGAAGGAACC
rnacentral:sRNA from 2 species